GAAUAUGAAGUGAUAAAUUACAAUUAGUUUCGACCUAAUCUUAGGCAACACUGCCCUUAUUCU
rnacentral:tRNA from 1 species